GGCCAAAAAGGGGUCUUACCGGACCUACUCCUUUUAGACAUUUUGGAUAAUUUCUCGGUAGUCUCUCGUGUUAACUGAGAUUUUUUUCAAUGGAAGCAUGCGCUAGGAAUACUCAACAAAUACAGCUAGUCAUAUUUGUGUCUGAUUACCAGAGAUUAGUGAUACAUACCGUCGCUUGAAACAUGUAAGAAAAUGAAACAAAAAUCUUU
rnacentral:lncRNA from 1 species